rnacentral:lncRNA from 1 species
GUGUUUUCUUCGCGUUGGUGUUGGGGCAGCGUUGCGGCUAUCAUUACCUCCUUAAACUGCCUCUGAGCAUGGCAAAGGGAACGAUUCUUGGCGUUUCUCUAUUGGUCGCAUGCGUAAGCAUACUGGAAUGUAGACUCCGAUUCGUCAGAAGAACGCCUGUUAUUUUCAUCAUGCCCUACCGAACUAUUCACCAUUAUCAUCAUCGCCAUUAUCGUUAUGGACGUAGAUAUGGCGGAUUUGCAAAGUUCUUUUCGACCGACCAACCAAUAUGGACAUAUAAGACAACUGAGCGGCCUGUCCAUGAGUGCGAAGUGGAACAAAUGAUCAAGAUAAACAAGACAUCAGUUCUUUUGAUGCGAUCGUAUAACAAAAACAAUACAAAAAUAUCCGGUUACCUACAGGGAACUCUUCAACCAAGGAAUGUGUACCAAAUGCUUAUUCAACAUUCAGAAUAUAAUUAGACUGAAGACAUCUUGUAUAUGAGUAAGAAGUUGAGAUGUGCAGUGGUUAAAGUUACAAGCACCUUGAAAGGUCAGGACACCACAUUUGACCUUCGAGUUCGCAACUCUUCGGUUACCAAGGGCCCUACCCGAGGCUGCAAAAGAAAAUUUUGGAGAGUUGCUAGCGGAUCACAAAACGUUUAUACAGUCAAGUGCCAGGAUAUACUUCGGAACAAAACGAAACCAGCGUUAACGGUCGUAGGAAAUGCGAAGAAGAAAAUGCAGCCCCUUCGAUGACGUUUUUUUAACAUCGUCUGACAUCUAGACAAACUGGUGGAGGAUCAUCGAAAUAUGUGCAGAGAUUCAACUUAUUCAUUUUAUCACUUGUCUAGAUCAAAACUGGACGAAAGAGAACAUUGCGCCAUACAUUUGUUAAGCAUGGCCGUUAUUGCUCUUAGUUGACGCGCCAGUGUAUUCCGGCAUUCUCACCCAAAGGCAUCAAUAAAAGUAGACUU